UACGUAGGGUGCAAGCGUUGUCCGGAUUUAUUGGGCGUAAAGAGCUCGUAGGCGGCCUGUUGCGUCCGCUGUGAAAGCCCGGGGCUUAACCCCGGGUCGGCAGUGGAUACGGGCAGGCUAGAGGUAGGUAGGGGAGAAUGGAAUUCCCGGUGUAGCGGUGAAAUGCGCAGAUAUCGGGAGGAACACCGGUGGCGAAGGCGGUUCUCUGGGCCUUACCUGACGCUGAGGAGCGAAAGCGUGGGGAGCGAACAGG
rnacentral:rRNA from 1 species